AUAACAUCAUUUUCACGUAGACAUUCCUCAAAUGAAUCUCGGUCUUUGCAAUGAAACAUUUUGAACAGAUUUUCAGGGCGACGAAUGAGAAUGCAGCCUACACGUAAACGAACGAUCACAACAACAACAAAGAUCAAUCUGUGAUAUCUUCUCUGUGAUGUCAUUCUUAUAGUAGCUGUGGUUCAAUGUUCAGAUGUGCAUGAAGAGAAUUUACCUGUAACACCUGGGAUUACCUGUGCCGUCCAAGAUGACAAGACCACCGUGUUAUGUUUACCUUGUAUCUGUGAUUU